AUGAUUUUGAUAUCCGUCCCCGUCGGCCCUCGUCCGGGUUAUGAUUCGGAUGUGGAGGUAGUUGAACCGGAAAUUCCAACCGACCCUAUUGUCGAGAGGUUAAAUUUAGUUAAAAGAGAAAACGAGGAUUUGAAGGAAAAAUUGAAAAGAAUUGAGGGGGAGAAGAUGGAAUUGGAGUUGCAUGUUGCCGAUGUCGUCGAUGAUCACAAGAUUAAGAUUGAGAAAAUGCGCUUGAAGAUUAGAAUAUUAGAAAAUAUGCCAUUCAUAGUGAGGCUUGGUAUCAUUAUGCUAUUGGAUCAAUUGUUACCUUAG
rnacentral:rRNA from 1 species